rnacentral:rRNA from 1 species
AUAGAGACUCAGAGCUGCAUAUCAAUAAGCGGAGGAAAAGAAACUAACAAGGAUUCCCUUAGUAACGGCGAGUGAAGCGGGAAGAGCUCAAAUUUGAAAUCUUCAAGGUUUUACCUUGACGAAUUGUAGUUUAAAGAAGUGUUUUCUGUAGUGGAGUUUGGUAAAAGUUCUUUGGAAUAGGACAUCAUAGAGGGUGAGAAUCCCGUAUUUGACCAUUAUUUCCAGCUUUGUGAUACACUUUCAAAGAGUCGGAUUGUUUGGGAAUGCAGUCCAAAAUGGGUGGUAAAUUUCAUCUAAAGCUAAAUAUUGGCGAGAGACCGAUAGCGAACAAGUACCGUGAGGGAAAGAUGAAAAGAACUUUGAAAAGAGAGUUAAGCAGUACGUGAAAUUGUCAAAAGGGAAGCGUUUGACACCAGUGUUGUUUAGUUGAAAAUCAAUUCAAUAGUUUUUGAUUCUAAGUAGUAUUGACUUCAUCAGCUUGCUGCUUUCUUCUCAGAAAUUAUUGAAUGCACUUUUCAGUUAACAAGUCAACAUCAAUUUCUUUUGUUGUAAAAGGGUAAGAGGAAGGUGGCUUGCGCUUCGGCUCAAGUGUUUAUAGCCUUUUAUCUCUGCAAUCGGAGAGAUUGAGGUCUGCAGCGUAGAUCCUUCGGGGUUAGAUACAUUGGUGCUAAGCUAUAGCCUUGUAUAGACAACUUGUUGACUAUGCUCAGUCAUGUAGCUUACUCGCUGAUGCUAUUUUACCUACGCUUAGGAUGUUGACGAGACUGUCGAUCUC